rnacentral:rRNA from 1 species
GACGAACGCUGGCGGCGUGCUUAACACAUGCAAGUCGAACGGAAAGGCCCUGCUUUUGUGGGGUGCUCGAGUGGCGAACGGGUGAGUAACACGUGAGUAGCCUGCCCUUGACUUUGGGAUAACUUCCGGAAACUGGGGCUAAUACCGGAUAGGAGCUCCUGCUGCAUGGUGGGGGUUGGAAAGUUUCGGCGGUUGGGGAUGGACUCGCGGCUUAUCAGCUUGUUGGUGGGGUAGUGGCUUACCAAGGCUUUGACGGGUAGCCGGCCUGAGAGGGUGACCGGCCACAUUGGGACUGAGAUACGGCCCAGACUCCUACGGGAGGCAGCAGUGGGGAAUAUUGCACAAUGGGCGGAAGCCUGAUGCAGCAACGCCGCGUGCGGGAUGACGGCCUUCGGGUUGUAAACCGCUUUCGCCUGUGACGAAGCGUGAGUGACGGUAAUGGGUAAAGAAGCACCGGCUAACUACGUG